AGCGCAGGCGGGAGAACAAGUUGGAAGUGAAAUCCAUGGGCUCAACCCAUGAACUGCUUUCAAAACUGUUUUUCUUGAGUAGUGCAGAGGUAGGUGGAAUUCCCGGUGUAGCGGUGGAAUGCGUAGAUAUCGGGAGGAACACCAGUGGCGAAGGCGGCCUACUGGGCACCAACUGACGCUGAGGCUCGAAAGUGUGGGUAGCAAACA
rnacentral:rRNA from 1 species